GAUUAAGUUAUUAAGGGCGCACGGUGGAUGCCUUGGCACUAGAAGCCGAUGAAGGACGUUACUAACGACGAUAUGCUUUGGGGAGCUGUAAGUAAGCUUUGAUCCAGAGAUUUCCGAAUGGGGAAACCCAGCACGAGUUAUGUCGUGUUAUCUGCAUGUGAAUACAUAGCAUGCAAGAAGGCAGACCCGGAGAACUGAAACAUCUUAGUACCCGGAGGAAGAGAAAGAAAAAUCGAUUCCCUGAGUAGCGGCGAGCGAAACGGGAAGAGCCCAAACCAAUAAGCUUGCUUAUUGGGGUUGUAGGACACUCU
rnacentral:rRNA from 1 species